GGAGUUGGCCGAGACAAUCGCUGCUUGCGUUAGCAAGGGGAGGAAAGUCCGGGCUCCAUAGGGCAGAGUGCCAGGUAACGCCUGGGCGGCGCGAGCCGACGACUAGUGCAACAGAGAGCAGACCGCCGAUGGCUUUUGUUUUCCUCGGAAAGCAGAAGAUCAGGUAAGGGUGAAAGGGUGCGGUAAGAGCGCACCGCGUGGCUGGUAACAGUUCAUGGCACGGUAAACUCCACUCGGAGCAAGACCAAAUAGGGAUCCAUGGGGUGGCCCGCCUCGGGUCCGGGUAGGUUGCUUGAGGCUGUGGGCGACUGCAGUCCUAGACGAAUGAUUGUCCUCGACAGAACCCGGCUUAAUGGCCAACUCCCCAU
rnacentral:RNase_P_RNA from 1 species